rnacentral:lncRNA from 1 species
UGUCUCCAAAUCUCCCUUCAUAUAGAUGAACGCCCAUGUGGAACAUUAACUACUUGCCCAUCCGCCGACACUCCAUAUUUGUCUCGGACGAUUGAACACCACAAAUUGUUUGAUUCCAACCUUGCUGAAAGUAUUGCGAUCAGAGCAUUGUGCAAUACCAGUUGAGUCUCCCUUCAUCCAAGGCUGACAUAAGGCAUCCCAGCC